rnacentral:rRNA from 1 species
UCAGAAGUGAAACGCCGUAGCGCCGAUGGUAGUGUGGGGUCUCCCCAUGCGAGAGUAGGGAACUGCCAGGC